rfam:Oryzias latipes DNA, chromosome24, strain: Hd-rR.
GUUGGUUAUGGCGAUAUAUGCCCGGUGACCGUGGGAGGAAAGCUCGUGGCCACCGUGAGCAUCAUCUGCGGCUUGCUGGUGGUUGCUCUGCCAAUUUCUGUCAUCUUUAAUAAG